rnacentral:rRNA from 1 species
UACGAAGGGGGCAAGCGUUGUUCGGAAUUACUGGGCGUAAAGGGCGCGUAGGCGGCUUAUCAAGUCAGGCGUGAAAUUCCCCGGGCUCAACCUGGGGGCUGCGCUUGAUACUGACUUGGCUUGAAUGCGGGAGAGGAUAGUGGAAUUCCCAGUGUAGAGGUGAAAUUCGUAGAUAUUGGGAAGAACACCGGUGGCGAAGGCGGCAUCUGGCCCGUAAUUGACGCUGAGGCGCGAAAGCGUGGGAGCGAACAGG